GCCCGCCUAGCUCAAUCGGAUAGAGCGUCAGACUCUUAGGAUGUCUAAGGUGGCUGCAUCUGAAUCUGAAGGCUGCGAGUUCGACCCUCGCGGUGGGCU